UACGUAGGGUGCAAGCGUUAAUCGGAAUUACUGGGCGUAAAGCGCGCGCAGGCGGCUUGGCGCGCCCGACGUGAAAGCCCCCGGCUUAACCGGGGAGGGUCGUCGGGUACGGUCAGGCUUGAGGGCGGGAGAGGGUGGUGGAAUUCCCGGUGUAGUGGUGAAAUGCGUAGAGAUCGGGAGGAACACCUGCGGCGAAGGCAGCCUCCUGGGCCAGCACUGACGCUCAUGCACGAAAGCGUGGGGAGCAAACAGG
rnacentral:rRNA from 1 species